UUCUUUGUUUGAGGUAUACCUAUAAUUGAGAUGUUCUAAACUGUAUCACUAAAAGCUAAGUUUAUAACUUAUUCUCAUUGUUACAAAAACAAGUGUGGGUGCACAGUACUCCGCGCCCACUAGCUUGUAAUCCUACAUCCCCUCUCGUAUAACACUGCUGACAGCUUCAGCACUAUAUUGGUAGUUUAGGUUGUCAUCAAACUCUAAGUUACUGAGGAUCAAACAGUUGAGAAACAAAAGCUACUUCAUCACACGAUUGACAAAUCCAGCAGCAGCUAGACCACAAACAACUAUUCUAUCAAUUGCGGGAAGACGUUCCUUAGGAUUGGAUGGAAGCCUUUUAGGCGUAGAAACACGGUCCUUGGGAAUAAUUGGGAGUUUUGGAGGAGCAACAACAUGUUUCCUUUUAUCAAAUGGAGACCCAGACGGAGCCAUUAAACCAAGCUCGCGCAUUACUUUUACUUGGCGUGCGCUCAGUGUAUGUUUUCCAGCUGAAGCUGCCACAGAUUCUUUGCUGCUUGAUUUGGGUUUGUUCGGCAUUUUGUCUCGCUUUCUUUUUCGGCUUUCCUCUUCCUCAUGCUUUUCUGGUGAUUUGCUCGACGAAGGUCCAGAAUCAGAU
rnacentral:misc_RNA from 1 species